rnacentral:rRNA from 1 species
GACGAACGCUGGCGGCGUGCUUAACACAUGCAAGUCGAACGGAAAGGCCCUGCUUGCAGGGUACUCGAGUGGCGAACGGGUGAGUAACACGUGGGUGAUCUGCCCUGCACUUCGGGAUAAGCCUGGGAAACUGGGUCUAAUACCGGAUAGGAGCCAUUUUUAGUGUGAUGGUUGGAAAGUUUUUUCGGUGUAGGAUGAGCUCGCGGCCUAUCAGCUUGUUGGUGGGGUAAUGGCCUACCAAGGCGGCGACGGGUAGCCGGCCUGAGAGGGUGGACGGCCACAUUGGGACUGAGAUACGGCCCAGACUCCUACGGGAGGCAGCAGGGGGGAAUAUUGCACAAUGGGCGCAAGACGGAUGCAGCGACGCCGCGUGGGGGAUGACGGCCUUCGGGUUGUAAACUCCUUUCGCUAGGGACGAAGCUUUUUGUGACGGUACCUAGAUAAGAAGCACCGGCUAACUACGUG